UUGGAGGGCAAGUCUGGUGCCAGCAGCCGCGGUAAUUCCAGCUCCAAUAGCGUAUAUUAAAGUUGUUGCAGUUAAAAAGCUCGUAGUUGAAUUUCGGGGUCAGCAGGUUGGUCGUGCCAAUGGUAUGCACUGGCCUUGCUGAUUCCUCCCUCUUGAUGAGCCGUAAUGCCAUUAAUUUGGUGUUGCGGGGAAUCAGGACUGUUACUUUGAAAAAAUUAGAGUGUUUAAAGCAGGCAAGCGCUUGAAUACAUUAGCAUGGAAUAAUGAGAUAGGACGUUCGAUCCUAUUUUGUUGGUUUCUAGGAUUGACGUAAUGAUUAAUAGGGAUAGUUGGGGGCAUUAGUAUUCAAUUGUCAGAGGUGAAAUUCUUGGAUUUAUUGAAGACUAACUACUGCGAAAGCAUUUGCCAAAGAUGUUUUCAUUAAUCAAGAACGAAAGUUAGGGGAUCGAAGACGAUCAGAUACUGUCGUAGUCUUAACCAUAAACUAUGCCGACUAGGGAUCGGAUGAUGUUAAUUUUUUAAUGACUCGUUCGGCGCUUACGGGAAAC
rnacentral:rRNA from 1 species